rnacentral:lncRNA from 1 species
CUUUUUCUGUUUUGUGCUUUAUGGUAAUAUGCUUUAUAAAUAUUCCAAACUUUCUUAGAGAUUGGCUGUUGGAGAACUCACUGGAAAUGGUCUAACAUUAGAAGAAUGGCUACCUUCAACAUGGAUCACAGACACUCUUCCCCGAAGAUGUCCAUUUGUGCCCCAGAUGGGGGAUGAGGUUUAUUAUUUCCGACAAGGACAUGAAGCAUAUGUUGAAAUGGCCCGGAAAAAUAAAAUUUAUAGUAUUAAUCCUAAAAAACAACCAUGGCAUAAAAUGGAAUUACGGGAACAAGAACUGAUGAAAAUAGUUGGCAUAAAAUAUGAAGUGGGAUUACCUACCCUUUGUUGCCUUAAACUUGCUUUUUUAGAUCCUGAUACUGGUAAACUGACUGGUGGAUCAUUUACUAUGAAGUACCAUGAUAUGCCUGAUGUUAUAGAUUUCCUAGUCCUGAGACAACAAUUUGAUGAUGCAAAAUACAGGCGGUGGAAUAUAGGUGAGUGAAAAUACUUUAAACUAUUUCUCUCACAGUUGAUAACUAUUUGUUAUAAAGCCACAAAAUUAU